rnacentral:rRNA from 1 species
GACGAACGCUGGCGGCGCGCCUAACACAUGCAAGUCGAACGAGCGGGAGAGAGCUUGCUUUCUCAAGCGAGUGGCGAACGGGUGAGUAACGCGUGAGGAACCUGCCUCAAAGAGGGGGACAACAGUUGGAAAUGACUGCUAAUACCGCAUAAGACCACAGCACCGCAUGGUGCAGGGGUAAAAACUCCGGUGGUAUGAGAUGGAUCCGCGUCUGAUUAGCUAGUUGGUAAGGUAACGGCUUACCAAGGCAACGAUCAGUAGCCGACCUGAGAGGGUGACCGGCCACAUUGGGACUGAGACACGGCCCAA